rnacentral:rRNA from 2 species
CUCGAUCGGGUCGACGAACUCUGUUAUGGGUUGGUGCUUGCAUCAUGAUUUACAUUGUGAGUGAGUGGCGAACUGGUGAGUAACACGGGGGAAACCUGCCCAGAAGCGGGGGAUAACACCUGGAAACAGAUGCUAAUACCGCAUAACAACUUGGACCGCAUGGUCCGAGCUUGAAAGAUGGCUUCGGCUAUCACUUUUGGAUGGUCCCGCGGCGUAUUAGCUAGAUGGUGGGGUAACGGCUCACCAUGGCAAUGAUACGUAGCCGACCUGAGAGGGUAAUCGGCCACAUUGGGACUGAGACACGGCCCAAACUCCUACGGGAGGCAGCAGUAGGGAAUCUUCCACAAUGGACGAAAGUCUGAUGGAGCAACGCCGCGUGAGUGAAGAAGGGUUUCGGCUCGUAAAACUCUGUUGUUAAAGAAGAACAUAUCUGAGAGUAACUGUUCAGGUAUUGACGGUAUUUAACCAGAAAGCCACGGCUAACUACGUGCCAGCAGCCGCGGUAAUACGUAGGUGGCAAGCGUUGUCCGGAUUUAUUGGGCGUAAAGCGAGCGCAGGCGGUUUUUUAAGUCUGAUGUGAAAGCCUUCGGCUCAACCGAAGAAGUGCAUCGGAAACUGGGAAACUUGAGUGCAGAAGAGGACAGUGGAACUCCAUGUGUAGCGGUGAAAUGCGUAGAUAUAUGGAAGAACACCAGUGGCGAAGGCGGCUGUCUGGUCUGUAACUGACGCUGAGGCUCGAAAGUAUGGGUAGCAAACAGGAUUAGAUACCCUGGUAGUCCAUACCGUAAACGAUGAAUGCUAAGUGUUGGAGGGUUUCCGCCCUUCAGUGCUGCAGCUAACGCAUUAAGCAUUCCGCCUGGGGAGUACGGCCGCAAGGCUGAAACUCAAAGGAAUUGACGGGGGCCCGCACAAGCGGUGAAGCAUGUGGUUUAAUUCGAAGCUACGCGAAGAACCUUACCAGGUCUUGACUACUAUGCAAUCUAAGAGUUA